UUGUUGAUUCAUCUGCUUAACUAUCAGUGUAUAUUUAAUUUUUGAAUUGUAGAAUUAUUUGGGUUGCACAGUUGCACCAGCUCUGCAUGUCUGUACAUUUAUGAAACACUGCAUAUUUAUGGAUUCAUGUGGUGUUUUUUCCUUAGGUUUGCUACUUUGUUGCAUCAGUGUCCGAAUUCGAUCAAGAAGGGGUCUGCUAAGGAGAUAGCUUUAGCAGCUCAUGCCAUUGGAUUGCUGGCUCUGACCACUGGUCCUGAGGAAAGAGCUCAGGAAAUAUUGGAAGAAUCAGUUCCUCCUAUUUCACAAGCUCUCAUGUCAACAUGAGAUGCCUAGAUAUGUAAUGUUGUAGAUUUAGAUCUUGAUUCAAACUUUGGUUGAUUAGAUGGUAGUUGUCUUUGAAAUCUAUUCUGCAAAAACUAAUGCUGCUACUCUUAUCAAGUAGUGGCCGCUAAACCUUUACCAGGUUUAAACCAGUUUUAUUUGAAGCCGUAAGUUUUUUAAAAUAUAUGUUUAACCAAUCAAACAAUGUGCUAGUUAUUAUGCUUUGCCCAUUGCCAACUUGGGUUUUCUAUACGGAAGGCUUGAAGUGGUUUGUAUUCGGGACAAUGUUGGGACCUAAUUCCUUGUUAAUUUGUGUUGCUGGGGAUUUUGUAUUAGUCUAUUCUUUCUUUGAAUCUGUGAACCUUUCUUUGUUCCCCUUUUAAAGUCAUUCACUCUUUGUACAGAGAUUGUACGAGUCACCAAACUCGGUCGUCAACAAGGCGAGGACACAAUAUCGAAACAAGCAGCGAAUGUUUUCGCAGGUAGUUUAUUAUUACAAUAAAAAUAUUGGUGUCUUCAGAAAGAAAGGUACCAAACAAUAUGAAGCAAGCUUGAAGGAUGAAAAGCCUUUAGAUCAAUGGCUUCAUUGUUAAAUUAAGCAAGUGUUUUAGUAAAUAAAUUUAAUUUUCCCAUCAUGUUUACACCUUCAAAAUAUUCUGUAAAUGACAUUUGAUGUAGAAUUUUGUGUACAAAGGACAUCUUUUUUGUA